AUUGAACGCUGGCGGCAUGCUUUACACAUGCAAGUCGAACGGUAACAGGCCGCAAGGUGCUGACGAGUGGCGAACGGGUGAGUAAUGCAUCGGAACGUGCCCAGUCGUGGGGGAUAACGCAGCGAAAGCUGCGCUAAUACCGCAUACGAUCUCUGGAUGAAAGCGGGGGACCGAAAGGCCUCGCGCGAUUGGAGCGGCCGAUGUCAGAUUAGGUAGUUGGUGGGGUAAAGGCCCACCAAGCCAACGAUCUGUAGCUGGUCUGAGAGGACGACCAGCCACACUUGGACUGAGACACGGCCCAGACUCCUACGGGAGGCAGGAGUGGGGAAUUUUGACCAAUGGGCGCAAGCCUGAUCCAGCAAUGCCGCGUGCAGGAAGAAGGCCUUCGGGUUGUAAACUGCUUUUGUACGGAACGAAACGGUCCGGGUUAAUACCCUGGGCUAAUGACGGUACCGUAAGAAUAAGCACCGGCUAACUACGUGCCGGCAGCCGCCGUAAAAC
rnacentral:rRNA from 1 species